rnacentral:lncRNA from 12 species
GGGGGGGGGGGGGGGGGGGGGGGGAACAGGAGAUAUCUCCUGGAGGGAGGAUGGGCUGUGGGAAGAUAAAGAUGAUUGCCCAGCUGGUUUAAAGAUGGCCAUGAGCAGAUAAUGUGUGCCAGGAGAUCAGGGGCACUGCCCCACCUGGUUUAACAGCUGGGGACAGAACACACAUUGCUGGUCACAUCCUGUACUGCAGCCCAAGACAUUCCCAAAGGACUGGAACAGCUCCGGGGGGGUGUUGGAGUCUGGACCCUUCCAAGGACAAACUCUGCCCUGGUUGCCGUGGGGGACCCAGCGAGGGCCGGGAUAAUUAAAGCAAUAAUAAUUAAAAGCCACUUUGCCAUCCAACAAACGCCCCCGUUGUUUUAGUUGCUCAUUAGUUAAUUUCCUUCUAACGAGGCUCCAAUCAUCUGACAUUGGGGGGGAGGGAGGGGGAAGAGGGAGGACCCGAGUUAAAGGAGCUUAAUUAGCGAGUUAAUUACAGCGAGCAGGGAAAUGUUCUGGUUACAUAAAUGAGGCAUUGGUAUGCACACACGUUCAAAAAGCUCAAAAAAAAAAACAAAAAACAAAAAAAAAACAACACAGGCAGGAAUUGUUCCUCAGGACGCCUCAUUAAGUCCUGGGGUCUGCCCAAAAAAAAAAAAAAAAUUAAAAAAGAGAAAAUCCAAGUGGUUGGUUUCACCUCCCGCCCCUGGUGAGAGCAGGAUCAGCAGGGUCAGGAUGGGGCUGCUGGGUAUAAAUUGGGCAUAAACUGGGCAUAAACUGGGCAUUCCCUGCUCGGGGGCAGCAGAGGGGCCACCAUGCCCAACAAGAAGAAAUACAACGUCAACGGCGAGUCGGGGAUGAAAGCCCAGAUCCAGUUUGCUGACCAGAAGCAGGAGUUCAACAAGCGGCCCAGCAAGAUCGGCCGGCGGUCGCUGUCGCGCUCCAUCUCGCAGUCCUCGACAGACAGCUACAGCUCAGCUGCAUCCUACACGGACAGCUCUGAUGAUGAGACCUCUCCCCGGGACAAGCAGCAGAAGAACUCCAAGGGCAGCAGCGAUUUCUGCGUCAAGAACAUCAAACAGGCCGAGUUCGGGCGGCGCGAGAUCGAGAUCGCCGAGCAGGGUGAGGGACCCCAAAUCCUCACCCCAAAUCCUCACCCCAAAUCCCCUUGGGGGGGGGGCAGGGGGAUG